rnacentral:rRNA from 1 species
AACAAAAACAUGUCCUUUUGAAUUUAAUUUAAGGUCUAACCUGCCCAAUGAAAAAUUUAAAUGGCCGCAGUAUUUUGACUGUGCAAAGGUAGCAUAAUCAUUAGUUUUUUAAUUGAAAGCUUGUAUGAAGGGUUGGACGAGAUAAAAACUGUCUUNAAUUAAUUUAUUUUAGAAUUUAAUUUUUAAGUUAAAAAGCUUAAAUNNUAUUAAAAGACGAGAAGACCCUAUAGAUCUUUAUAAUUUUUAUUUUAAUUAAAUUUUAGAAUUAAUUAUUAUUUAAUUUAAAAAUUAUUAUAUUGGGGUAAUAUAAAGAUUNAANUAAUUCUUUAUUUAUUNAUACAUUAAUNUAUGAUUAUUUGAUCCAAUAUUAUUGAUUAUAAGAUUAAGUUACCUUAGGGAUAACAGCGUAAUUUUUUUAAAGAGUUCAUAUCGAUAAAAAAGUUUGCGACCUCGAUGUUG